rnacentral:rRNA from 1 species
AAAUGAAUUGACGGGGGAGCGCACAACCGGUGGAGCAUGUGGUUUAAUUCGAUACAAAGCGAAAAACCUUACCCAGGUUUGACAUGUACCUACACGUCCCGUGAAAGCGGGAUUUCUUCGAGAGUGGUACACAGGUGAUGCAUGGCUGUCGUCAGCUCGUGUCGUGAGACGUCCGCUUAAGUGCGGCAACGAGCGCAACCCUUAUCGUUAGUUAUACGUGUCUAGCGAAACAGCCCCUCACCUUGUGGUCUAACAACAGUUGGAACACGAGGUGAGGGGAGGAAGGAGAGGACGAGGUCAAGUCAGCAUGUCCCUUACAUCUGGGGCUACACACAUCCUACAAUGGAGCCGACAACAGGUAGCGACGAGGUAACUCUGAGCCAAUCCCAUAAACGGCCCCUCAGUUCGGAUUGAGGGCUGCAAUUCGCCCUCAUGAAGCCGGAAUCGGUAGUAAUCGCAAAUCAGCAGGUUGCGGUGAAUACGUUCUCGCUCCUUGUACACACCGCCCGU